GGUUAAAAUCCACUGGUACCCAAA
rnacentral:snRNA from 1 species